GCAAGCGUUAAUCGGAAUUACUGGGCGUAAAGCGCACGCAGGCGGUCUGUCAAGUCGGAUGUGAAAUCCCCGGGCUCAACCUGGGAACUGCAUUCGAAACUGGCAGGCUUGAGUCUUGUAGAGGGGGGUAGAAUUCCAGGUGUAGCGGUGAAAUGCGUAGAGAUCUGGAGGAAUACCGGUGGCGAAGGCGGCCCCCUGGACAAAGACUGACGCUCAGGUGCGAAAGCGUGGGGAGCAAACAGGAUUAGAUACCCUGGUAGUCCACGCCGUAAACGAUGUCUACUUGGAGGUUGUGCCCUUGAGGCGUGGCUUCCGGAGCUAACGCGUUAAGUAGACCGCCUGGGGAGUACGGCCGCAAGGUUAAAACUCAAAUGAAUUGACGGGGGCCCGCACAAGCGGUGGAGCAUGUGGUUUAAUUCGAUGCAACGCGAAGAACCUUACCUGGUCUUGACAUCCACGGAAGUUUUCAGAGAUGAGAAUGUGCCUUCGGGAACCGUGAGACAGGUGCUGCAUGGCUGUCGUCAGCUCGUGUUGUGAAAUGUUGGGUUAAGUCCCGCAACGAGCGCAACCCUUAUCCUUUGUUGCCAGCGGUCCGGCCGGGAACUCAAAGGAGACUGCCAGUGAUAAACUGGAGGAAGGUGGGGAUGACGUCAAGUCAUCAUGGCCCUUACGACCAGGGCUACACACGUGCUACAAUGGCGCAUACAAAGAGAAGCGACCUCGCGAGAGCAAGCGGACCUCAUAAAGUGCGUCGUAGUCCGGAUUGGAGUCUGCAACUCGACUCCAUGAAGUCGGAAUCGCUAGUAAUCGUGGAUCAGAAUGCCACGGUGAAUACGUUCCCGGGCCUUGUACACACCGCCCGUCACACCAUGGGAGUGGGUUGCAAAAGAAGUAGGUAGCUUAACCUUCGGGAGGGCGCUUACCACUUUGUGAUUCAUGACUGGGGUGAAGUCGUAACAAGGUAACCGUAGGGGAACCUGC
rnacentral:rRNA from 1 species